rnacentral:rRNA from 1 species
AGCGAACGCUGGCGGCAGGCUUAACACAUGCAAGUCGAACGGGCAUCUUCGGAUGUCAGUGGCAGACGGGUGAGUAACACGUGGGAACGUACCCUUCGGUUCGGAAUAACUCAGGGAAACUUGAGCUAAUACCGGAUACGCCCUUUUGGGGAAAGGUUUACUGCCGAAGGAUCGGCGCGCUUCUGAUUAGCCUGUUGGUGGGGUAACGGCCUAUCAAGGCGACGAUCAGUAGAUGGUCUGAGAGGAUGAUCAGCCACACUGGGACUGAGACACGGCCCAGACUCCUACGGGAGGCAGCAGUGGGGAAUAUUGGACAAUGGGCGGAAGCCUGAACCAGCCAUGCCGCGUGAGUGAUGAAGGCCUUAGGGUUGUAAAGCUCUUUUGUCCGGGAAGCUAAUGACGGUACCGGAAGAAUAAGCCCCGGCUAACUUCGUG